AUAAAAACAGUGACAGGGACUAUUAGUUAUAUGUUUGACCAAUAGAGAGCUAACGGUUGGUGGAAGUUAGUGGCGAAAUAUAAUGAACUCACCCUUAAGUUAUCUUUAUGAGCAUUUCAGGGUAGCAUUUGCCUAUGAAAUGGUAGUAUCGAUCGUCUAAGCUGCGUUAAAGCUUUGAGUGAGCAUACAUGUUUUAAGGUUGCUAAUUAGGGUGGUACCACGUGUGAUAACCUCUCGUCCCUAGC
rnacentral:ncRNA from 1 species